rnacentral:rRNA from 1 species
AUGAACGCUAGCGGCAGGCUUAAUACAUGCAAGUCGUGGGGCAGCAGGUUUGUAGCAAUACAGAUGCUGGCGACCGGCAAACGGGUGCGGAACACGUACAGAACCUUCCUUUGAGCGGGGAAUAGCCCAGAGAAAUUUGGAUUAAUACCCCAUAGUAUAAUGAAGUGGCAUCACUUUAUUAUUAAAGAUUUAUCACUCGAAGAUGGCUGUGCGGCUGAUUAGGUAGUUGGCGGGGUAAAGGCCCACCAAGCCUGCGAUCAGUAACUGGUGUGAGAGCACGACCAGUCACACGGGCACUGAGACACGGGCCCGACUCCUACGGGAGGCAGCAGUAAGGAAUAUUGGUCAAUGGACGCAAGUCUGAACCAGCCAUGCCGCGUGGAGGAUGAAGGUCCUCUGGAUUGUAAACUUCUUUUAUAUGGGACGAAAAAAGCCUUUCCAGGUCGUCGGACGGUACCAUAGGAAUAAGCACCGGCUAACUCCGUGCCAGCAGCCGCGUUAAUACGGAGGGUGCAAGCGUUAUCCGGAUUCACUGGGUUUAAAGGGUGCGUAGUUGGGUUGGUAAGUCAGUGGUGAAAUCCCCGAGCUUAACUUGGGAACUGCCAUUGAUACUAUUAAUCUUGAAUACCGUGGAGGUCGGCGGAAUAUGUCAUGUAGCGGUGAAAUGCUUAGAUAUGACAUAGAACACCAAUUGCGAAGGCAGCUGGCUACACGAGUAUUGACACUGAGGCACGAAAGCGUGGGGAUCAAACAGGAUUAGAUACCCUGGUAGUCCACGCCCUAAACUAUGGAUACUCGACAUUUGCGAUACACUGUAAGUGUCUGAGCGAAAGCAUUAAGUAUCCCACCUGGGAAGUACGAUCGCAAGAUUGAAACUCAAAGGAAUUGGCGGGGGUCCGCACAAGCGGUGGAGCAUGUGGUUUAAUUCGAUGAUACGCGAGGAACCUUACCUGGGCUAGAAUGCUGGGAGACCGUGGGUGAAAGCUCACUUUGUAGCAAUACACUGCC